rnacentral:lncRNA from 1 species
CCCUCGGCUACGUCCUCGGCCCCGCCCCCCGGUCCACGUCACGGGCCCCGCCCUCCUUCGUACGUCACCGGCCCCGGCCCCGCCCCCGGUGAGGUGCGGCCGGGCGGCGGGCCUCCCGGCGGGCAGGGCGGCAGGCCUUGCGCCCCUUGGCUCCGCUGCGCUGCGCUCCGCUCCGCUCCCCUUGCAGACGUGGGGGAGGCCGCGCCGCCCCAUGAGGGCUUUGGUAGCGGGGCCGGCGGAGGGGCCGGCGUAGGGCGGGGGCCCCGCCCUUCCCCUCCCCUCCCCUCUCCAGUCCCCCCCUCCCCCCUCCGCCGCGGCCGCCGGGAGCGGCAGGUGAGGGGGAGGGGCGGGGGCGGCCGCUGCGGCUGGCGCGCGCGCGCGCUGGUGCCCGUGGCGGGGUCGGGGGUCGCGUGCGCCGAGCCGGUCCCCCGCGGCCCCCCGCAAGCCCCCGCAGCCCCUCCACCCUUGCUCCUCGGGACCUGCUGCCCUCCCCCUCCUUCCUCCUCCUCCUCCUCUCUCUUCCUCCUCCUCUCCUUCUUCUCCCUCCUCACCUUCCUCUUCCUCCCCCUCCUCACCUUUUUCUUCUCCUUUUCCCUCCUCCUCGGCUUCCUCUUCUUCUCCCUCCUCCCCCUCCUGUCCCUGCCUUCCCCUCUCCCUCCUUUUCUCCUUCCCUCUCUCUUCCCCUUCUCGUCCUCUCUCUCCCUCCUUCCCUCCCUUUUCUCUUUCCCUUCUCCUCUAUCUCCUCCCCCCUCCUCCUCUUCUUCUCUCCCUUCUCUUCCCCUCUCCUCUCUCUUCCUCCUUCCCCUUCUCUCCCCUCUCUCGUUCUCUCCCUCCUUCUCUCCCUCCUUCUCUCCCUCCCUCCCUCCCUCCCUCCCCCCUCUCCCUUCCGUUCCCCUCUCUCCCUUCUCCUCUCUCCUUCCCCUUCUCCGCUCUCUCCCCUCUCUCCUCCUCCUCCCUCCCUUCUUCUCUCUUUCCCUUCUCCUCCUCCUCCUCUCUCCCUUCUCUUCCUCCUUUCCUCUCUCUGUCCCUCUCAUCCUCUCUUCCUCUCCUCCUUUCCCCCUUCUUCUCUCUCCCUUCUCUCUCUCUUUCCCUCUCUCCCUCCCUUCUCCUGUCUCCUUCCCUCCUCUCUUUCCCUUCUCCUCCUCUCCCUCCCUCUCUUCCUUCUCCUCUCUUCCCCUUUUCUCUCUCUCUCCUUUCUCCUCUCUUCCCCUUUUCUCCCUCGCCUCCUCCCUCCCCCUCCUCUCUCCCUCCUCUCUCCCUCCUCUCUCCCUCCUCUCUCCCUCCUCUCUCCCUCCUCUCUCCCCCUUCUCCUCUCCCCCUUCCUUCCCUCCCUUCCUUCUCCUCUCUCUCCCUUCUCUCUUUCCCUUCUCCUCUCUCUCCAUCCUCUCCUUCCCUCUCUUUCCUUUCUCUCUCCCUUCUCCUCUCUUUCUCUUCUCCUCUCUCUCCCUCCUCCUCUCUUUCUCUUCUCCUCUCUCUCUCCUCCUUUUUUCUCUCUCUCCUCCUUUUUUCUCUCUCUCCUCCUUUUUUCUCUCUCUCUCCUCCUUUUCUCUCUCUCUCCUCCUUUUUUCUCUCUCUCUCCUCCUUUUCUCUCUCUCUCCGUCCUUCUCCUCCUCACCCUCCCCCCCAAAUGGAUGGAAAAGUUUUGUCCAGCUUGUGAUGCCGAACACAAGGGCCCUCCAUGCCUGUAAUAUCGCCGUGGGCCGGCAACGCGCCUGA